CACCGCGGUUAUACGAGAGGCCCAAGUUGACAGACACCGGCGUAAAGCGUGGUUAAGGUAUACCAAAACUAAAGCCGAACACCUUCAGGGCAGUUAUACGCAUCCGAAGGCACGAAGCCCCACCACGAAAGUGGCUUUAUGAACCCUGACCCCACGAAAGCUAUGACA
rnacentral:rRNA from 1 species